CAGGGAAUCUUCCACAAUGGACGCAAGUCUGAUGGAGCAACGCCGCGUGAGUGAAGAAGGGUUUCGGCUCGUAAAGCUCUGUUGUUAAAGAAGAACGUGGGUAAGAGUAACUGUUUACCCAGUGACGGUAUUUAACCAGAAAGCCACGGCUAACUACGCGCCAG
rnacentral:rRNA from 1 species